GACAACAUGGUGUAGUGGUUUGAGCAUUGGAUUAUAACUCUGGAGACCAGGGUUCAAAUCCCGGUUUGGCCA